UGGGGAAUAUUGCACAAUGGGGGAAACCCUGAUGCAGCGACGCCGCGUGAGUGAAGAAGUACUUCGGUAUGUAAAGCUCAAUCAGCAGGGAAGAAGAUGACGGUCCCUGACUAAGAAGCCCCGCCUAACAAAAUUAAAAAUCAGCCGCGGCAAUAGGGAACGGCUAUAAUCAUAGCAGCAAAAAAAAAACCACCCCCACAGA
rnacentral:rRNA from 1 species